UUUUUGAUAAAGUUAACUGACUGUGACGUUUGGUUAUCUGAACGUUGCAGUGAUGUUAAGAGAGAGAGAGAGUACAAAUGGGGGAAAGCAAGAAAAGGGUACCGAUUAUCUUUGGAAUAAAAGCAUCUGCAAGUUGCACGACGAUCAGCACACGUGGUUUUCUAAAACUUUGGUACAGAAUAAGUAAAGUGGAGCAAUUUGGAUCAUUUUGGAACAUAAAUCUCGAAAAAUCAAUUUGGACUUGGAUCAAAACAAGGGCAUCGAUCGACACCAGUUAGAAGCAUCGGUCGACACCCUCUUCAGCCGAUGAAGAAUCACAAAUUUGGA